UACGUAGGGGGCAAGCGUUGUCCGGAAUUAUUGGGCGUAAAGAGCGCGUAGGCGGUCUGAUAAGUCGGUUGUGAAAGUCGGGGGCUCAACCCUCGGAUGCCGAUCGAUACUGUCAGGCUAGAGUCCGGAAGAGGCGAGUGGAAUUCCGUGGUGGUAGCGGUGAAAUGCGCAGAUAUCAGGAGGAGCACCGGUGGCGAAGGCGGGUCUCUGGGCCGAUGACUGACGCUGGAGGAGCGAAAGCGUGGGGAGCGAACAGG
rnacentral:rRNA from 1 species